AACUUUUGACAACGGAUCACUUGGCUCUCGCAUCGAUGAAGAACGCAGCGAAAUGCGAUAUGUAAUGUGAAUUGCAGAAUCCAGUGAAUCAUCGAAUCUUUGAACGCAUCUUGCGCUCCUUGGCAUUCCGAGGAGCAUGCCUGUUUGAGUGUCAUUAAACUAUCAAAUCACCUCUCCUCUUGAGGUGUUUUGGACUUUGGGAGCAUUUUGCUGGUCUGUUUGAGCCAGCUCUCCUCAAAAGCAUUAGCUAUGGAGACCAUCAGUGUGAUAAUUUGUUUACACUGAUUUGAGUGUCUCAGCUUCUCCUUUUCAAUUACACCCCUUUGACCUCAAAUCAGGUAGGACUACCCGCUGAACUUAAGCAUAUCAAUAAGCGGAGGCU
rnacentral:misc_RNA from 1 species